rnacentral:lncRNA from 1 species
AGGUCGCCAUCGACCGUCAUCCUCCCUUUUCGAUCGAGCACGCCACUGACCGGAUUGAAGCCCUCCUUGAUCGUCGUCCACCCUCCAUGCCACCGCAUCGAUCGAAUCGCCCGUCUCUCUCUUGCUCUCUUGCUCCCUCGUCGGUCGAGUGCACCACCGAUCGUUGUCCUCUCUCCCCAAUCGAGUACGCCACUGAUCGGAUUGAAGCCCUCCACACCACCAUGC